UCAUCAUCAGGAGAAAGAAAAAGGGUUCUUUCAAAAACCCUUAAAACCCACAAAAUUCAUCAAAAUCAAAGAUGAAUCAAGCUAAAAAUUGGGGCUUUAACUAAUUUUGUGAUCAUCCAAGCUAGGAGAUCACAAGGAAAGGAAACUGGAGCGUCAAGUGGACAAGCCGGUGGUGACGCGCGACUGAAGGGGGUGCUUUGAAAGGUAGUGCUCAUUUCAUUUCGGAUGCCGAUCAAGCAAUGAUGCAAGAACCGAACACCAAAUUUUGUAGCUUCCGCGUUAAAUUAGACAUGUUUGGACAAUGAUGUUUUAUAAACAUUAGUAGAUGUUGAAUGUUUUAAACAAGUUAGAUUGUUAUGUUAAUACUCUAUGAUGAUGUACAACUUAA